rnacentral:misc_RNA from 1 species
UCUCCGUAGGUGAACCUGCGGAGGGAUCAUUACAGAGUUCAUGCCCUACCGGGUAGAUCUCCCACCCUAUGUUAUUAUUACUUUGUUGCUUUGGCGGGCCGUUAGGCUCCGGCCCGACUACCGGCCCCGGCUGGUAAGCGCCCGCCAGAGGACCCAAAACCCUGAAUAUUAGUGUCGUCUGAGUACUAUAUAAUAGUUAAAGCUUUCAACAACGGAUCUCUUGGUUCUG